AUAAAAAUUCCCCUGGCCCAAAUUUAUAUGGUUGGAUUACUCGCUCGAGGUGAUGAUUAUAUGCCAGAAGGUGCGGUAGAAGAAUGCCUUCGAGGGAAAAUGGGUGGUUGAUGGAAGACUAUAUUAUCUGAUAGCUAACUGAAGAAGAGACAUAAGGUAGGAAGUAACUUUUAAUGAAUCUGUCCAAUGGAAUUAUCUUA
rnacentral:lncRNA from 1 species